CCUUGCUUAUCCUUCUAUUCUGAACAAAGAAAUCCCAUAUUUCUCUUUGGAACCAUUUGAUCUACUACUAAGUAAAGUAUAAGUACUCCUCGACAUUUCUUGUUCACAUUCACCAUUCAUAUAUAUAGAAUAAUCCGAUCUCGCUCAUGAUGCCCGUGCACUUCAUCUGUAUUUUCAACGGCCUAACUUUUCUUCUAAAACAGAUGAUGAGCAUAACUGAUGAAAUCCCCUCCCUACUGCUGUGUUGAAAUGCCAUACUUCAACUUGUUCUGUCAAAAAGAG
rnacentral:lncRNA from 1 species